rnacentral:rRNA from 1 species
UACGUAGGGGGCAAGCGUUGUCCGGAAUUACUGGGCGUAAAGGGCUCGUAGGCGGCCAACUAAGUCAGACGUGAAAUCCCCAGGCUCAACCUGGGAACUGCGUCUGAUACUGGAUGGCUUGAAUCCGGGAGAGGGAUGCAGAAUUCCAGGUGUAGCGGUGAAAUGCGUAGAUAUCUGGAGGAAUACCGGUGGCGAAGGCGGCAUCCUGGACCGGCAUUGACGCUGAGGAGCGAAAGCCAGGGGAGCAAACGGG